rnacentral:rRNA from 1 species
CGUGUAGGCGGUUUGGUAAGUCAGAUGUGAAAGCCCUGGGCUCAACCUAGGAAGUGCAUUUGAAACUGCCAUUCUAGAGUAUGGGAGAGGAGAGUGGAAUUCCCAGUGUAGAGGUGAAAUUCGUAGAUAUUGGGAGGAACACCCGUGGCGAAGGCGACUCUCUGGACCAAUACUGACGCUGAGACGCGAAAGCGUGGGUAGCAAACAGGAUUAGAUACCCUGGUAGUCC